GUGGGGAAUAUUGGACAAUGGGCGAAAGCCUGAUCCAGCCAUGCCGCGUGUGUGAAGAAGGUCUUCGGAUUGUAAAGCACUUUAAGUUGGGAGGAAGGGCAGUAAGUUAAUACCUUGCUGUUUUGACGUUACCAACAGAAUAAGCACCGGCUAACUACGUGCCAGCAGCCGCGGUAAUACGAAGGGUGCAAGCGUUAAUCGGAAUUACUGGGCGUAAAGCGCGCGUAGGUGGUUCAGCAAGUUGGAGGUGAAAUCCCCGGGCUCAACCUGGGAACUGCCUCCAAAACUACUGAGCUAGAGUACGGUAGAGGGUAGUGGAAUUUCCUGUGUAGCGGUGAAAUGCGUAGAUAUAGGAAGGAACACCAGUGGCGAAGGCGACUACCUGGACUGAUACUGACACUGAGGUGCGAAAGCGUGGGGAGCAAACAGGAUUAGAAACCCGUGUAGUCC
rnacentral:rRNA from 1 species